rnacentral:rRNA from 1 species
UGGGGAAUAUUGCACAAUGGGCGGAAGCCUGAUGCAGCGACGCCGCGUGGGGGAUGAAGGCCUUCGGGUUGUAAACUCCCUUCGACAGGGACGAAGCUUUUGUGACGGUACCUGUAUAAGAAGCACCGGCUAACUACGUGCCAGCAGCCGCGGUAAUACGUAGGGUGCGAGCGUUGUCCGGAAUUACUGGGCGUAAAGAGCUCGUAGGUGGUUUGUCGCGUCGUCUGUGAAAUUCCGGGGCUUAACUCCGGGCGUGCAGGCGAUACGGGCUGACUUGAGUGCUGUAGGGGAGACUGGAAUUCCUGGUGUAGCGGUGAAAUGCGCAGAUAUCAGGAGGAACACCGAUGGCGAAGGCAGGUCUCUGGGCAGUAACUGACGCUGAGGAGCGAAAGCAUGGGUAGCGAACAGGAUUAGAUACCCUGGUAGUCCGUGCCGUAAACGGUGGGCGCUAGGUGUAGGGGGCUUCCACGUCUUCUGUGCCGUAGCUAACGCAUUAAGCGCCCCGCCUGGGGAGUACGGCCGGCAAGGCUA